AUGUCAGAAGACACUUUAGGUCCUAAGGGAACCCAGAGCCCCAGGCAGACGGAGUCUAUUUCCCUGAAUUGCUGCCUAAAGGAAAGACACACCUGCCAAACAAGAACAGACACCUGGGACAUUUGCAUGAGUAGGGAAGAAACUACUAUGGGGGUAAGCCAUGGAAAUUGGGUGGUUGAUUUGCUACAGCGGCUGGCAUUUUCUAUUAUAUUGUCAUAUGCUUUUUUGAGUUUACUAAGAAGUAAAACUGACUUGUUCACUUUUGAAACUUCUUAUAUUCCCAACUCCUACUCAGUGUCUAGCACAGUGUUUUUAUAUUCAGUGGGUCACAAUAAGACUAUCUCUUACAGAGUUCUUGCUAUGUGAUCAUCGCUAUGCUAAGAG
rnacentral:lncRNA from 1 species